UUGUCGAGUAGCAAUCAAAGAC
rnacentral:miRNA from 1 species